AACGAACGCUGGCGGCGCGCCUAACACAUGCAAGUCGAACGGGGCUGAGAGAAGCUGGCUUUUCUUAGCUCGUUGGCGAAGGGGUGAGUAACGCGGGAGUAACCUGCCCUGGAGUGGGGUACAACAGUUGGAAACGACUGCUAAUACCGCAUGAGCCCACGAUCCGGCAUCGGAUUGCGGGAAAAGGAUUUUUUCGCUUUAGGAUGGACUCGCGUCCAAUUAGCUAGUUGGUGAGGUAACGGCCCACCAAGGCGACGAUUGGUAGCUGGACUGAGAGGUUGAUCAGCCACAUUGGGACUGAGACACGGCCCAGACUCCUACGGGAGGCAGCAGUGGGGGAUAUUGGACAAUGGGCGAAAGCCUGAUCCAGCGAUGCCGCGUGGAUGAAGAAGGUUUUCGGAUUGUAAAGUCCUGUCGUUAGGGACGAUAAUGACAGUACCGAGCAAAUAAGCACCGGCUAACUCCGUG
rnacentral:rRNA from 1 species